GAUUUACAGUUUCACAUCUCCCGACUUCUCUCUCAUAAAAAAGUGACUAUGUUUCUUCAAAACUCUGCCACCAUUGACGGUUUCACGAAAGAUCUAUAGGUCAUGCCUUCACCAAUAUGAGGCUCUUCAAGCCAAAACAUGGGCGAGAGACAGAGCCAAGCAAGAAGAGAUCCGUGGCAAACAGAAAAAGAAACUAUGCAGUCAAAAAAGAUGUUCAAGAAUCUAAAGAUUUUAAAUUGAGAAAUGGUGAAUGUAUUAAGUGUUAGAUGCAGUUUCUUUAUGUUAGUUGGGGAUUUGAGACUGAAAUCUUUGUAAUAUACAGGGUAAAUGUCAUGUUUUUACUCCUCUA